CCUACGGGAGGCAGCAGUGGGGAAUAUUGGACAAUGGGGGCAACCCUGAUCCAGCCAUGCCGCGUGAGUGAAGAAGGCCUUCGGGUUGUAAAGCUCUUUCAGAUGCGAAGAUGAUGACGGUAACAUCAGAAGAAGCCCCGGCUAAUUUCGUGCCAGCAGCCGCGGUAAUACGAAAGGGGCAAGCGUUGUUCGGAUUUACUGGGCGUAAAGGGCACGCAGGCGGUCUUGCCAGUCAGGGGUGAAAGCCCGGGGCUCAACCCCGGAACUGCCUCUGAUACUGCAAGACUAGAGACUAGGAGAGGGUGGUGGAAUUCCCAGUGUAGAGGUGAAAUUCGUAGAUAUUGGGAGGAACACCAGAGGCGAAGGCGGCCACCUGGACUAGAUCUGACGCUCAGGUGCGAAAGCGUGGGGAGCAAACAGGAUUAGAUACCCUGGUAGUCCACGCCGUAAACGAUGAGUGCUAGUUGUCGGGACUUCGGUUUCGGUGACGCAGCUAACGCAUUAAGCACUCCGCCUGGGGAGUACGGUCGCAAGAUUAAAACUCAAAGGAAUUGACG
rnacentral:rRNA from 1 species